rnacentral:rRNA from 1 species
AUUGAACGCUAGCGGCAUGCUUAACACAUGCAAGUCGAGCGGCAGCGCGGGGGUAACCCUGGCGGCGAGCGGCGGACGGGUGAGUAAUACGUAGGAAUCUACCUUGUAGUGGGGGACAACCCGGGGAAACUCGGGCUAAUACCGCAUAAUCUCUAAGGAGGAAAGUAGGGGACCUUUGGGCCUUACGCUAUAAGAUGAGCCUGCGUCGGAUUAGCUAGUUGGUGGGGUAAAGGCCUACCAAGGCGACGAUCCGUAGCUGGUCUGAGAGGA